AAUGGGUCAGCGACUUAUAUUCUGUAGCAAGGUUAACCGAAUAGGGGAGCCGAAGGGAAACCGAGUCUUAACUGGGCGUUAAGUUGCAGGGUAUAGACCCGAAACCCGGUGAUCUAGCCAUGGGCAGGUUGAAGGUUGGGUAACACUAACUGGAGGACCGAACCGACUAAUGUUGAAAAAUUAGCGGAUGACUUGUGGCUGGGGGUGAAAGGCCAAUCAAACCGGGAGAUAGCUGGUUCUCCCCGAAAGCUAUUUAGGUAGCGCCUCGUGAAUUCAUCUCCGGGGGUAGAGCACUGUUUCGGCAAGGGGGUCAUCCCGACUUACCAACCCGAUGCAAACUGCGAAUACCGGAGAAUGUUAUCACGGGAGACACACGGCGGGUGCUAACGUCCGUCGUGAAGAGGGAAACAACCCAGACCGCCAGCUAAGGUCCCAAAGUCAUGGUUAAGUGGGAAACGAUGUGGGAAGGCCCAGACAGCCAGGAUGUUGGCUUAGAAGCAGCCAUCAUUUAAAGAAAGCGUAAUAGCUCACUGGUCGAGUCGGCCUGCGCGGAAGAUGUAACGGGGCUAAACCAUGCACCGAAGCUGCGGCAGCGACACUAUGUGUUGUUGGGUAGGGGAGCGUUCUGUAAGCCUGUGAAGGUGUACUGUGAGGUAUGCUGGAGGUAUCAGAAGUGCGAAUGCUGACAUAAGUAACGAUAAAGCGGGUGAAAAACCCGCUCGCCGGAAGACCAAGGGUUCCUGUCCAACGUUAAUCGGGGCAGGGUGAGUCGACCCCUAAGGCGAGGCCGAAAGGCGUAGUCGAUGGGAAACAGGUUAAUAUUCCUGUACUUGGUGUUACUGCGAAG
rnacentral:rRNA from 1 species